rnacentral:rRNA from 1 species
GAUUAAGCCAUGCAUGUGUAAGUACAAGCCCAUGAAAGGUGAAACCGCGAAUGGCUCAUUAAAUCAGCUAUAAUUCCUUGGAUCUGUACCACCACUUACUUGGAUAACUGUGGUAAUUCUAGAGCUAAUACAUGCACUUAGUCCCUGACCGCAAGGAAAGGGCGCUUUUAUUAGUUCAAAACCGGUGUUCAGGCUUCGGUCUGUAAACCAACCUUGAUGACUCUGGAUAACUUUGCUGAGCGCACGGUCUCUGUACUGGCGCCGCAUCUUUCAAGUGUCUGCCUUAUCAGCUUGAUUGUAGGUUAUGCGCCUACAAUGGCUAUAACGGGUAACGGGGAAUCAGGGUUCGAUUCCGGAGAGGGAGCCUGAGAAACGGCUACCACAUCUAAGGAAGGCAGCAGGCACGCAAAUUACCCACUCCCGGCACGGGGAGGUAGUGACGAAAAAUAAUGAUGUGAGACUCAUCCGAGGCCUCGCAAUCAGAAUGAGUACACUUUAAAUCCUUAGCGAGGACCAAUUGGAGGGCAAGUCUGGUGCCAGCAGCCGCGGUAAUUCCAGCUCCAAUAGCAUAUAUUAAUGUUGUUGUGGUUAAAAAGCUCAUAGUUGGACUACAGAACGGGGCUGGCAGUUGACCAGUGCCGCAAGGUGCCCUCUGUCACGCCCCAGGAAGCCUGAGAGGCUCCGCCGGCUCUCGCGGGGUGCUCUUGACCGAGUGCCCCGAGUGGCUGGCAUGUUUACUUUGAAAAAAUUAGAGUGCUCAAAGCAGGCAAUAUGAAUGGCCUGAAUGCUUAUGCAUGGAAUAAUGGAAAAGGACCUCGGUUCCAUUUUGUCGGUUUUCUACGGAAUCCGAGGUAAUGACUAAUAGAGACAGUCGGGGGCAUACGUAUUGAGAGGCUAGAGGUGAAAUUCUUGGACCCUCUCAAGACGACCUAAAGCGAAAGCAUUUGCCAAGGAUGUUUUCAUUAAUCAAGAACGAAAGUUAGAGGUUCGAAGGCGAUCAGAUACCGCCCUAGUUCUAACCGUAAACUAUGCUAACCAGCAAUCCGCCGGUGCUAUACCCAUGGCCCGGCGGGCAGCUUCCGGGAAACCAAAGUCUUUGAGUUCCAGGGGAAGUAUGGUUGCAAAGCUGAAACUUAAAGGAAUUGACGGAAGGGCACCACCAGGAGUGGAGCCUGCGGCUUAAUUUGACUCAACACGGGGAACCUCACCAGGCCCAGACACUGGAAGGAUUGACAGAUUGAGAGCUCUUUCUUGAUUCAGUGGGUGGUGGUGCAUGGCCGUUCUUAGUUGGUGGAGUGAUUUGUCUGGUUAAUUCCGAUAACGAACGAGACUCUGGCCUACUAAGUAGUCGACAGAUUUCCGCUUUUAUGUGGUGUCUAGUCGCAAUCUAUCUUCUUAGAGGUAUAAGUGGCAAGUUUAGCCACAUGAGAUUGAGCAAUAACAGGUCUGUGAUGCCCUUAGAUGUUCUGGGCCGCACGCGCGCUACACUGGAAGGAUCAGAGUGUUGUCCCCCUCCGAGAGGAGGGGUAACCCUGACAAACCCUUUCUUGAUUGGGAUUGGGGCUUGCAAUUGUCUCCCAUGAACGAGGAAUUCCUAGUAAGCGCAAGUCAUGAGCUUGCGUUGAUUAUGUCCCUGCCCUUGUACACACCGCCCGUCGCUACUACCGAUUGAAUGAUUUAGUGAGGCCUUCGGACUGGCACCCUUGGAUGGUUGACGGAAAGAUGGCCAAACUUGAUCAUUAGA